rnacentral:rRNA from 1 species
AUCUACGGCCAUAGGACUCUGAAAGCACGCGCAGUUAACCAGAGCGCCGCCUAGUUAGUACCACGGUGGGGGACCACGCGGGAAUCCUAGGUGCUGUGGUUU